UUCUAAUAAUAAAUUUUUAUAUAAUAACUAUAUUUUAUAUUCACUGGUAAUUUUGGUUUGUCAUAAGCUUGUUUCUCAAUUUGUGCAGGUUUCCUAAUGUUUGGGCUUUGCGAUUAGUACGCCAAUUAUUAGUUUGGGAUCCACUCAACAAUAUUCAAAGAAGGCCAGAAGUUUACAUGGAAAGAUAGUGGUCAUUGUGGUGACAUUUGUUGUGGUCAUAUCACUUCUGAUUAUCAUCUCCUUGGUGUAUUGGUUGGUGAUUAUAAAGAGAAGAAGAGAUUAUUAUGGGACAGAAGAGGAAGCCUGAUCAUCCC